AUACAUACAGAACAUUUUGUUUUAUUCGUUUAUUAAAAUAGAUAAUUAAUUGGCUUUUACAGAUUUUAUACUUCUGUGUUGGCUUCGUAAUAAAAUUUCAAAAGUAGCCGUCAUGUCAUCCGUUUUAAGAACACCGCCCAGAAAGCUGGUAUCCGCUUUUAGAACCACGAGACAAUCAAAUAAUGUGGCAAGUUAGUUUGGUAUAAAAGUUUUUUUUUAGUAAAAUAUAACAGGUUGACUUAUUCUGUGAUUAAAAAUGGCCAUGUGUAAGCUCCAUGUAACUUUUGAAGGUGAUGUUUCUGCCUCAUACAUAUGAAAGUGAUCUCUAUACA